rnacentral:tRNA from 1 species
GGAGAGGUACCGAAGCGGUCAUAACGGGGCGGUCUUGAAAACCGUUAGGGGCAACUCCACGUGGGUUCGAAUCCCACCCUCUCCGCCA